UAUGUAGGGGGCAAGCGUUAAUCGGAAUUACUGGGCGUAAAGCGUGCGCAGGCGGUUUUGUAAGUCUGACGUGAAAUCCCCGGGCUCAACCUGGGAAUUGCGUUGGAGACUGCAAGGCUAGAAUCUGGCAGAGGGGGGUAGAAUUCCACGUGUAGCAGUGAAAUGCGUAGAGAUGUGGAGGAACACCGAUGGCGAAGGCAGCCCCCUGGGUCAAGAUUGACGCUCAUGCACGAAAGCGUGGGGAGCAAACAGG
rnacentral:rRNA from 1 species